UGGUUCUGGCAUCGAUGAAGAACGCAGCGAAAUGCGAUAAGUAAUGUGAAUUGCAGAAUUCAGUGAAUCAUCGAAUCUUUGAACGCACAUUGCGCCCAUUAGUACUCUAGUGGGCAUGCCUGUUCGAGCGUCAUUUCAACCCUCAAGCCUGCUAUAUUGGGUUUGGUGUUGGGGUAUCUAUAGAUCCUAUAGACCUCCAAAGAUAGUGGCGGACCCGCUGGACUCCGAGCGUAGUAGUUUAUUUCUCGCUCCGGGUGUUUUAGUGGGCUUUAGCCGUUAAGCUCUUAAAUUUCGAAAAGUUGACCUCGGAUCAGGUAGGAAUACCCGCUGA
rnacentral:misc_RNA from 1 species